rnacentral:rRNA from 1 species
AGAGUUUGAUCAUGGCUCAGGAUGAACGCUAGCGGCAGGCUUAAUACAUGCAAGUCGUGGGGCAGCGCAGUGUAGCAAUACAUGGGCGGCGACCGGCAAACGGGUGCGGAACACGUACGCAACCUUCCUUUAACUGGAGAAUAGCCCCUCGAAAGAGGGAUUAAUACUCCGUAACAUCCCGACAUGGCAUCAUGACGGGAUUAUAGCUCCGGCGGUUAAAGAUGGGCGUGCGCCUGAUUAGAUAGUUGGCGGGGUAACGGCCCACCAAGUCUGCGAUCAGUAACUGGUGUGAGAGCACGACCAGUCACACGGGCACUGAGACACGGGCCCGACUCCUACGGGAGGCAGCAGUAAGGAAUAUUGGUCAAUGGACGCAAGUCUGAACCAGCCAUGCCGCGUGGAGGAUUAAGGCCCUCUGGGUUGUAAACUCCUUUUAUCUGGGAAGAAAUCCACGAAUUCUUUUGUGGUUGACGGUACCAGAGGAAUAAGCACCGGCUAACUCCGUGCCAGCAGCCGCGGUAAUACGGAGGGUGCAAGCGUUAUCCGGAUUCACUGGGUUUAAAGGGUGCGUAGGCGGGCAGGUAAGUCCGUGGUGAAAUCUCUGAGCUUAACUCAGAAACUGCCAUGGAUACUAUUUGUCUUGAAUGUUGUGGAGGUAAGCGGAAUAUGUCAUGUAGCGGUGAAAUGCUUAGAUAUGACAUAGAACACCAAUUGCGAAGGCAGCUUACUACACAAAUAUUGACGCUGAGGCACGAAAGCGUGGGGAUCAAACAGGAUUAGAUACCCUAGUAGUCC